AUAGAAUAACUAAGGAAAAUGUUUGGUACUCAGUUACAAACCAUAAGAGUACUUUCUUUAAUUAUCAGCGCCAGAGGAGGAUGUAUUAAACCUAAUGAGUUUUUAACAACAGCUCUAGAAUUCACUAAGAAGUACUUAGAAACCAUGAUCUACACGGCAAUGAAGAGAAGUCUAUUCAUCUAUGACCGUUUUAUGCGAAGAAUUUGGGCCUCUACUAGCCAUAAAACAAUUAGUAGUAAUUAAAAAAAAAAAAUGUAUUGUUUUUGAUUGUUCAAAUUAUAUAAACUAUGUAUUUUGUAUUAAAUAAAAAGAUUGAAUAUGUUUCAUUUUUACUAGCCAAAUGCCUCAUCUAAUUAGUUACGCGUAUGAAUGGAUAACGAGAUUCCUACUGUCCCUAUCUACUAUCUAGCGAAACCACAGCCAAGGGAACGGGCUUGGAAUUAUUAGUGAGGAAAGAAGACCCUGUAGAGCUUGACUCUAGUCUGGCAGUGUAAGGAGCCAUAAGAGGUGUAGAAUAAGUGGGAGAUGGCUUGCUAUCG
rnacentral:ncRNA from 1 species